rnacentral:lncRNA from 1 species
CUGAGUGUGCCGCGUCGUUCUUGCUGGCGAGAUGGUAGCGCGGGACAACUGGUGCCGGGAAUGGAGACCUCAUCAUCGUCAGCGCCAUCGGAGACCCCUUGGCUACAAGGAGGAUUCAGAACUGCAGGCAGAACUGGACCUCCGAAUUUGAGCAAACGCUUCGGGAGUUGAGAGCCGCUAUUAUCCAGAUUAACUCCACGCGCCUUGACCUGUCCUUGACGGAGGGAUUGUCAUCAUGGAUUGCUUCAGCUGUCUCCUAUUUUAAGGAAUGGGUGGGAGUGGGAUUGUUUGGUGGGGCCGUUUGCUGCGGAUUGGUGUUGCUUCUCUGGCUGGUCUGUCAGCUCAGGGCUCAC